rnacentral:rRNA from 1 species
AUGACUUGUAUGAAGGAUUGGAUGAAAUAUAAACUGUCUCUUAAUUAUAUUUAGAAUUUAAUUUUUUAAUUAAAAAGUUAAAAUGAAUUAAAAAGACGAGAAGACCCUAUAGAGUUUUAUAAUUAAAUUAAUUGAGAUUUUUUGUAAGAUUAAAAUUAAAAUUAAUUUAUUUAUUUUGUUGGGGUGACAGAAAAAUAUGGAGAACUUUUUUUAUAAUAUUACAUAAAUAAGUGGUUAAAUGAUCCAAUAUUAUUGAUUAUAAGAAAAAAUUACCUUAGGGAUAACAGCGUAAUUUUUUUUUUUAGUUCAUAUAAAAAAAAAAGUUUGCGACC